UACGAAGGGGGCUAGCGUUGUUCGGAAUUACUGGGCGUAAAGCGCACGUAGGCGGAUAUUUAAGUCAGGGGUGAAAUCCCGGAGCUCAACUGCGGAACUGCCCUUGAUACUGGGUAUCUAGAGUAUGGAAGAGGUGAGUGGAAUUCCGAGUGUAGAGGUGAAAUUCGUAGAUAUUCGGAGGAACACCAGUGGCGAAGGCGGCUCACUGGUCCAUUACUGACGCUGAGGUGCGAAAGCGUGGGGAGCAAACAGG
rnacentral:rRNA from 1 species